GCGGGUGUGGUGUAUGGUACAUGGCUGCCCUUCCUGAUCGUACUGGCGUUGAAAGUUGCAGCAGAACCGGGUUCGAUUCCUGGUAUCCGCA